rnacentral:rRNA from 1 species
AGGUCUGCGAUCGCGCAGCUGACGCAGCGACGCCGCGUGAGGGAUGACGGCCUUCGGGUUGUAAACCUCUUUCAGCAGGGACGAAUGUAUCCGGGACCUGGACAAGAAGCACCGGCCAACUACCUGCCAGCAGCCGGGGUAAAGCCGCGGUAAUAAU